GCCUCAGUAACGGCGAGUGAAGCGGCAACAGCUCAAAUUUGAAAUCCGGCUCCUGUGGGAGCCCGAGUUGUAAUUUGGAGAGGAUGCUUCGGCUGAGGCCCUGGUCUAAGUUCCUUGGAACAGGACGUCACAGAGGGUGAGAACCCCGUAUGUGGUCAGGGAUCGACGCCAUGUGAAGCUCCUUCGACGAGUCGAGUUGUUUGGGAAUGCAGCUCUAAAUGGGAGGUAUAUUUCUUCUAAAGCUAAAUACCGGCGAGAGACCGAUAGCGCACAAGUAGAGUGAUCGAAAGAUGAAAAGCACUUUGGAAAGAGAGUUAAAAAGUACGUGAAAUUGUUGAAAGGGAAGCGCUUGCAACCAGAUAUGCGCGCAGUUGUUUAGCCGGGCUUCCUGCCCGGUGCACUCUUCUGCGUGCAUGCCAGCAUCGGUUUGGGCGGCCAGAUAAAGGCCGUGGGAAUGUAGCUCCUCUCGGGGAGUGUUAUAGCCCACGGCGGAAUGUGGCCAGCCUAGACCGAGGUCCGCGCUUCGGCUAGGAUGCUGGCGUAAUGGUUUUAAGCGGCCCGUCUUGAAACACGGACCAAGGAGUCUAACAUCUAUGCGAGUGUUUGGGUGCGAAACCCAUGCGCGUAAUGAAAGUGAACGGAGGUGGGAGCCCUCACGGGCGCACCAUCGACCGAUCCUGAUGUCUUCGGAUGGAUUUGAGUAAGAGCAUAGCUGUUGGGACCCGAAAGAUGGUGAACUAUGCCUGAAUAGGGUGAAGCCAGAGGAAACUCUGGUGGAGGCUCGCAGCGGUUCUGACGUGCAAAUCGAUCGUCAAAUUUGGGUAUAGGGGCGAAAGACUAAUCGAACCUUUUA
rnacentral:rRNA from 1 species